UAAUCUGAAACCCUAAUUGCCGAUUCCCCUGCCUCCUCCGGAUCACAAUCUGCCUCUUCCGGAUCUCAUUCAACAAUCGACGGUAAUGUCUGACAGAUUUAAGGUAAGAUUGAUCUCAAAUUUGACAUUGUUUAAUCGAUCCGCACCCUCCAAUCUCUUCCUCCUAAUAAGGAUGAUCAGCAGGAAAGUGGAGGAGUGAAAUGAAAAUAUUAUAAGGGGUUUGAUGAAGCUUCCUCCUAAUCGAAGAUGCAUCAACUGCAACAGCUUGGUGAAAUGUGUGCAUUUUCAUGUUUAUCUAGGUAAGGUGUUCGAUGAAAUGCUUAUUUGUUUUUUGCAGUCCUGUAAUAGCAAAGUUAUGUAUGAUUCAUAGUCGAAGUCAAUUGGGGUACGAUGACUUUGAUUAGAUGAAACACAAAUAGUUGGAAUUAUCAAAGGGUUUUUGAAUUGAGAUUAGGCGGUUCGUGGUCAUCUAGGGUUCCGGUCGACAACAUUCAGUGAUGGUGGUGGUGUACGAUCAUGAACAACCGCGAUUAACUACAAGCAGUUUACCGGUGACUAAGCUCAUGACUUGCAUCGCCUGGAAUUCCUUUGCGUAGUUUUUAUCGUAGCAUGCCUGUUGUAUACCGAAGAAUCAUUUCGAAUAAAUAACAGCUUUGAGAAAUUAAAUCGUGCAGCUCAAAAACAUGUAAAAGAUCAACCAAAGAGACUGGCCGCAACUAUAAGAUCAUUAAUACCAAUUAAGUUUCAAUUAUAUUUAUUGUUUUGUUUUUUAUUUAGUUCUUCAUUUCCGAUAUUGUUUUAUGUGAGGCAGCACGAUAAGGACCAUUAUUGACAAUUAAACAUUGGGAGACUUCAUCAAGUCACAUGGUUACUCUGAAUUGUUUCAAAACGCUUAACUUGUGAGAAAACGUUGCAUUCUAUGUCUUAUUCUUUCUAAAAUCAUGCUCAUUUUAAGUGGGAAUGUGUGAUCUAUACACCAGGUUCAAGUAUGCUCCUCUAUUUGGAUUCUGGUCUUGCCAUACAUGAGUUCUGAGCUUCUUUGCAUUUUCUAUUCUGUCAUUUGGCCACAAUCAUCAUAUAUUCCAAGUAUUCCAUUCAUUCUUAUUAUAAAUAUUUGAAACCACAUUGACGAUAUUUCAUUAGUAUUAUCAGCUCUUAGGUUGCCCUCGGUGGUUUACCGUCAGAUGGUGUUCACAGGCAUAUGUUAAAAGGUAAUUCUUUAUUUACUGAAUGUCUUUGUUCUAUACUCGCUCAGAGAAAUUCUAAGUUUUAAGGUUCCCGGCAACCAAUCAACCGAUUCAUUUCCAUAGUUGUGAUUCUUUAUUUCUUUUUAGGUACAUUUUUACUAAAAUUUGAAGAUUUGUUGUUUGUUUCUUCCGAUUUAUUUGUUUUUUUAAAUGAUCUUAAA